CCUCCUGUCCUCUCGGUCCGUCACCCUACCGGCAACAAUGUUUCUCACCCUGAACCAGCUCUCCGGUUCCCACGCUCCCGCUCCUGGACCCUCCGUUCAGCCGCGGAUCGAUGUCUCAGUCCGGGAACGCUGAGCUGCGCUGCGGACCCUCCGUAUGUUUCUCACUCCCUCCCGUCUGCCACAGCUCCGCCGCUUCACCCUCUUUGAGCCCUCGUAGAUGCCUCCCUACCGGCUAUGUCAGGCUCCCCGCAGCCCUUUCUGGUGUCCGAGGCCGUCUGCUGGUGUUCAGCUGGUUCUCUGUGGGAAUGACUGCGUCCUUCCGUGCAUUCCGAAUGCAUCUGUGGAGAGGGAUGCACUCCACGUCUCUCUACUUCGCCGCCAUCUUUUUCCCCCCCUUCCUGUUAUUUUAAUCAGGCUGUUACCUACAUGAGGAGAAUCACUUUGCUUUGUUCACUGCUGUACCUCUAGUGCCUGGAACUUGAUCUAGAUCAUAAUGAAGAAACUGAGGCUUGGAGAAGUUAAGUCACACAUGUGAUUGUGAUCCAAUGGUAAUAAGUAACAGAACCAAGGCUUGACCUUAGAUCUGUAAGAUCAGCCUACCAGCAUCAAGCCUGCAUCUAGCAGAUCUCUCUACUUUAAAAAAAGCGCGACUAUGUGGAGAACAGAUCACAAGGAGCAGAAGCAGAGAGCCUGACUGGGAGGUGACUGCAUAGUGACUUGGUUGUGGUUGUGAAGACGGAAAGAAAUGGACUCAUUUUGAAGGCCAAGUCCCCAGGACAUACUGAUGGAUUGGAUGUGAUGGUUGAAGGCAGAGAAAGCAAAGAUUGAACCUGAGUUUUUUAGCUUAAACAAUCAACAACUGAUGAUGCCACGCGUUGAGGAAAUAAUGUGUGUAAAAGCAGUCCCGAGAGUGUUUGAUGUAGUAGGUGCCUCAGUUAAUAUCUGGGUGGAUGCACUGAGUGAGUGGGCUGAGUAUCAGGGGCAGGGAGGAGACCAGACACAGCUGAAAGGAAAAGCGACCCAGGUGCCACGACAAUACAUGCAGAGACACCGCCUCAGGCUGGCUAAAUGUGCCCACUUACCACUACAGUCAGGCUCGAUUCCCUACAGCACAGGACAUUGGGCAAAAUCCUAUGGGGAUCUGGGAAAUGACCUGAUUGAUGAAAAGCAGGAUGGGGAGGAGGAUUUCUGGAGCUAAGGUCCAGCAGGACACAGGGAUGCACAGAAAUAUUGUCAGGUGGAGGUUUUCCCAGUACAAAGCAGACAAUCCCUGCACCUGUAUUACCAACUCCAUACCCUUCCAGUGGUGAUAGAAAAACGCUAAGCUCCAAAUGGAAGAGAGCAGUCACAUGACUCUGGCUCAUAGUUCCAGGUCCUCUUUUCAUCUGAACUCUGCUUUGGGGUGUAGCAGAGCAGCCAGUGGGGGCAGGUUAGAAUCGGGGGCUGGACUCAUCAGGAGAGACUGACUUUCCUGUCCCAGCUUGGCUGUAUGCUAGGCAAAGUAGUAGAUGUUUACAUCUUUUCUCAUGUUCAGUCUUCACUACAACGCUGUGAGAUGAAUGUUAUUAUCCCCAUUUUAUUAAUGAGCAAACUAAGCCUCAGAGAGGUCAGUUCAUUUAGCCAGGGUCACACAGCUUGAGUGCAUGGUUUUGCUCUCAUGGAGUUUCCAGCAGAUCAUUGUGUCUUGUUCUUGAUUGAAUCCCCUGCUGUCUUGCACACAGCAGGGGCUCAGUAAACAUUUGUUGAAUGGAUAAAGAGUGGCCCCAAAGCUUGUGUUUAAUCACAAAGCCACACCAUUCCCUUUGAAGUGUAGAUUGAAAAGCUGCCUUCACCCCAAGUUUCUCCAUGUGGUGAUGAGAUAAAUCUGCUCCCUGAAAGUCCAACUCACAAGUCUUAGAAAUGUUCAGAAAGACAGAUUGCCUGCAGCCUCAGGCUCACUGUCCCCACCAGGUGAAUCACUCAGGGGUGAUGAGGUCUUAGGAGAAAGGCAGGUUAGGUUCACUAGUUUCCAGAACUUACCAGGGGAUUGGCACCUGCAGCCCUGGUGUUUAUAUUCAGAUUACAUUUGAUGGCAUGCUGAACUGGCGACUAAUUACAGCAUGCCCAAAUAAGGUACUUUAAUUAUAGCUUCUUUAAUUCCAACAAGAGCUCCGCUUGGAAAACAGAGGGAUGAAUUGGAGACAGAUAUGCUUGCUCUGAUACCCAAGCAUGGCUUGGAAAAUGAAUUACCAGGAAAUUCAGUGGUUUAUUCCAUUAGCUCCUCAUAGGACACUGCUUUGUAACUGCUGGGGAAGCUUCCCAAGGGAAGGACUGCUUGCAAUCUUUGCAGCCUGAUUGCUAAAAGCUGGUGGCCCGGCCCACCCUGGGGAUACACGUGGGUGUGCCGGGAGGCUGACCCUGGCCUGGGUUCGGCCUCCCCACUUCUUUUUUCUGGGAACAGCUUCCCAGCCGUCAUAGAUAUUUCUGGAGGGCUUUGCUUAGUCAGCUUGAAAAGGUAGACUCUGAUUAUGCCGUUUUCUGUUGGAAUUCAUUGACUGAUCUCUGCUACCUCUUGAACUGUACAAAUCCAAUUCAGAGCUCUUUGAAUGGAGCCUUCCUGGUUUUUACAGAUCCUUUGACCAGUCUUCUGGAUUUAUGUAAUGGGAUUCCUCCCAUCCCCCAGCUGCUAGGCUACAAAUAUUGUAAGGAAAACUAGGUCAGUUUGCUGGUAAAGUUGAACAUUGGUACCUUAUUUAAAUCACUUUUAACUCUUCCUACAGGGUGAAUUUGGGAAGGCUAUGCAUUUUAGCCACUCUUUUUUUUUUUUUCCUAUAGUAGCCUUAAGACCUGAAAUCAGUUACUUUUAGAUUUCCAUUGAAGAUAAGAAGUCUUUCCAUAGCCCUGGCUCCUUCUUGUCCCCUACUCUUUAAUGUAAUAUUUCCUCCAAGCAGAAUUAUUUUGGAGUUCUUUUGGGACUUUUCUACCUGUCACUACGGUUGUAAUGCCAAUGAUGAGAAAACCUGACCUGCAAUGUCAGACAGUUUCAUGUAAGUGAUCUCACUCACUCCUUAUAGCCAGCUCUGAAAGGCAGACAAAGCAGCUAUUGAUACUCUUAUAUUGCAGCUGAGUUCAGAGAGGUGAAAUCACGGCCAUGUCAUCCAGUCAAGACAAGGGUCUGCGUUAUCCGAUGCCAUGCCCAGACUCUUUUCUGUGAUGCCUGUCAACACAUUGUUUUGAAAACAGCACAUUGUUUCUCAGCAGCCCAAGGUGUGUCUACCUCAAGCCAAUGUUCAGAGAAGGCCUCCAGCUGAUUCUUUGUGUUUCAUUUCCAAACAUAUCUCCUGGGUUAGAACCUAGACCCAUAACAAAUACCUAUUAAGUGUCUACGUGUACCUGGCUCUGUGAUGCCAUUCAGGGCAUAGAGAGAUGGUUGCGAGAGUAGAAAGCAUAUCACCUAUGGAUUUAGGUUCUGGAGAGAACUAACUCAAAUCACAGCUCUUCCAGGGACUUUGAACAAGCUACUUAAACACUCAAAGCCUCACCAUUAAAUGAGAUAAUGCAAAGUGGCCAGCACUUUGAAAGUGCUAGAUUUUUGGUAGGAGGCUUUAUGUACAUCAUCUCUUUAAUCCUUACUGUACCCCUUAUGAGAGAGAUACUAUUCUCAUCCCCAUUCCAUAGAUUGGUAAACUGAGGUGAUUGGCCAGUGGUUAUACAACUGCAUUUUGCCCCCAAACACAGCUGGGGCUCUUAAUCACUGUCAUGAACUGCUUCUUGUGAUUAAGACAGGGACUGUCCUCUUGUGCUUGUUGUAGGCCUAUGACAGUGUGGCAUAAGUUGGAUGAGGGG